rnacentral:rRNA from 1 species
GACGAACGCUGGCGGCGUGCUUAACACAUGCAAGUCGAACGGAAAGGCCCUGCUUGUGUGCGGUGCUCGAGUGGCGAACGGGUGAGUAACACGUGAGUAACCUGCCCUUGACUUUGGGAUAACUUCAGGAAACGGGGGUUAAUACCGUAUAGGAUCUCCUGUUGCAGGGUGGGGGGUGGAAAGUUUCUGCGGUCGGGGCUGGACUGGCGGGUUAUCAGCUUGUUGGUGGGGGAGUGGCUUACCAACGCAUUGGAGGAUAGCCGGCUUGAGAGGGUGACCGGCCACAUUGGGACUGCGAUACGGACCAGUCUCCAACAGGAGGCAGCAGUGGGGAAUAUUGCACAGUGGGCGCGCGCGUGAGGCGGCGACGCCGCGUGCGGGAUGCCCGCCUUCUGGGAGAAAACAGCUGUAGCCUGUGACGAAGCGGUAGUGACGGUAAUCAGUGAAGAAGCACCGGCUAACUACGUG